UCUCAUCACUUUCUAUCAGGAAAUACAUGAAACCAACAUGACUUGCCACCUUGAUUUCUUGUUUAAGUUGGAGGUGGAUGAGGGAAUACUCUUUGAAGACAUCUGUCUGACACACGGGUGAAGGUACAUGAAUAUUUGCAGUGACUUAAAAUUAUGCUACUUUCCAUAUUGACUUCUACCUAAAACCUUUAA